UAGCUGGUCUGAGAGGACGAUCAGUCACACUGGGACUGAGACACGGCCCAGACUCCUACGGGAGGCAGCAGUAGGGAAUCUUGCGCAAUGGGCGAAAGCCUGACGCAGCAAUGCCGCGUGCGGGACGAAGGCCCUAGGGUCGUAAACCGCUUUCAGUAGAAGCGAAAGUGACGGUACCUGCAGAAGAAGCACCGGCUAACUACGUGCCAGCAGCCGCGGUAAUACGUAGGGUGCGAGCGUUGUCCGGAAUUAUUGGGCGUAAAGAGCUUGUAGGCGGUUUGUCGCGUCUGCAGUGAAAAUCCGGGGCUCAACCCCGGACUUGCUGUGGGUACGGGCAGACUAGAGUGUGGUAGGGGAGACCGGAAUUCCUGGUGUAGCUGUGGAAUGCGCAGAUAUCAGGAGGAACGCCGAUGGCGAAGGCAGGUCUCUGGGCCAUAACUGACGCUGAGAAGCGAAAGCAUGGGGAGCGAACAGGAUUAGAUACCCUGGUAGUCCAUGCCGUAAACGUUGGGCGCUAGGUGUGGGACUCAUUCCACGAGUUCCGUGCCGCAGCUAACGCAUUAAGCGCCCCGCCUGGGGAGUACGGCCGCAAGGCUAAAACUCAAAGGAAUUGACGGGGGCCCGCACAGGCGGCGGAGCAUGCGGAUUAAUUCGAUGCAACGCGAAGAACCUUACCAAGGCUUGACAUAUACCGGAAACAUCCAGAGAUGGGUGCCCCGCAAGGUCGGUAUACAGGUGGUGCAUGGUUGUCGUCAGCUCGUGUCGUGAGAUGUUGGGUUAAGUCCCGCAACGAGCGCAACCCUCGUUCUAUGUUGCCAGCGCGUAAUGGCGGGGACUCAUAGGAGACUGCCGGGGUCAACUCGGAGGAAGGUGGGGAUGACGUCAAAUCAUCAUGCCCCUUAUGUCUUGGGCUUCACGCAUGCUACAAUGGCCGGUACAAAGGGCUGCGAUACCGCAAGGUGGAGCGAAUCCCAAAAAAACCGGUCUCAGUUCGGAUUGGGGUCUGCAACUCGACCCCAUGAAGUCGGAGUCGCUAGUAAUCGCAGAUCAGCAACGCUGCGGUGAAUACGUUCCCGGGCCUUGUACACACCGCCCGUCAACUCACGAAAGUCGGUAACACCCGAAGUCGGUGGCCCAACCCUUGUGGAGGGAGCCGUCGAAGGUGGGACUGGCGAUUGGGACUAAGUCGUAACAAGGUAGCCGUACCGGAAGGUGCGGCUG
rnacentral:rRNA from 1 species